rnacentral:rRNA from 1 species
UGGGGAAUCUUGCGCAAUGGGCGAAAGCCUGACGCAGCGACGCCGCGUGGGGGAUGAAGCUUCUCGGAGUGUAAACCCCUUUCGACCCGGACGAAUCACCCGCAAGGGUAUUGACGGUACGGGUAUAAGAAGCCCCGGCUAACUACGUGCCAGCAGCCGCGGUAAGACGUAGGGGGCCAGCGUUGCUCGGAAUUACUGGGCGUAAAGGGUUCGUAGGCGGUGCGGCAAGUCGGGAGUGAAAUCUCUGGGCUUAACCCAGAGGCUGCUUCCGAAACUGCCGUGCUAGAGUGCGGGAGAGGCGAGUGGAAUUACAGGUGUAGCGGUGAAAUGCGUAGAUAUCUGUAGGAACACCCGUGGCGAAGGCGGCUCGCUGGACCGCAACUGACGCUGAGGAACGAAAGCUAGGGGAGCAAACAGGAUUAGAUACCCCCGUAGUCC